UGCAGGGGGAGAAAGGUGACCGAGGGGAAAGGGGCCCUCCUGGGCUUGUGGAUGGGGCAGCACCUCGCGGGGAGCCCGGAUCCCCGGGGCUGCCUGGGGACCCUGGGCCCCGGGGACCUGCUGGGCCCCCUGGCCUGAAGGGAGAGAAGG